rnacentral:rRNA from 1 species
CAGUAGCCGCGGUAAUACGGAGGGUGCAAGCGUUAAUCGGAAUUACUGGGCGUAAAGCGCACGCAGGCGGUUUGUUAAGUCAGAUGUGAAAUCCCCGAGCUUAACUUGGGAACUGCAUUUGAAACUGGCAAGCUAGAGUCUUGUAGAGGGGGGUAGAAUUCCAGGUGUAGCGGUGAAAUGCGUAGAGAUCGGGAGGAACGUCAGUGGCGAAGGCGGCCAUCUGGGACAACACUGACGCUGAGGCACGAAAGCGUGGGGAGCAAACAGGAUUAGAUACCCCGGUAGUCCCUGUCUCUUAUAC